AAGGGGUGAUCAGGAAGUGAAGGUACGGUGGAGUAACGGCAACAUCAAAACCCACAAGUUUGGACUGGAUGGAGUCUACGAGCUGGAGAUAUGCGAGCCGCUCGUCCACAAGAAACAUACAGGUGGAGAGUUGAGGUUCCCUGGACGACCCCAAGAUACAGGUAUGUUUCAUACGAGUAUACAUAGUGUCAC